AAUGGCGGGAUCGUCCUCACGGGGCGUUCCCAGAUACCCUUUGUGAACGUAUACCUACAUCGUUGCCUCGGCGCUGGCUGGGAGCUCCUUAUAUGGGCUUCCCCUCUAGGCUUUACACCCCUAGCGGAGCAGGCCCGCCGGUGGCCCUACAAACUCUUGUUUUUAUAACGUAUCUCUUCUGAGUAAUCAUAUACAAAUGAAUCAAAACUUUCAACAACGGAUCUCUUGGUUCUGGCAUCGAUGAAGAACGCAGCGAAAUGCGAUAAGUAAUGUGAAUUGCAGAAUUCAGUGAAUCAUCGAAUCUUUGAACGCACAUUGCGCCCGCUGGAAUUCCGGCGGGCAUGCCUGUUCGAGCGUCAUUUCAACCCUCAAGCUCUCGUGCUUGGUGUUGGGGCAUAGCCUGUAGAAAGGCUAGCCCUGAAAUUCAGUGGCGUGCUCACGAAGACUCCGAGCGUAGUAAUCUCUUCUCGCUUAGGUUGAUCUCGUGGUGCGCAGCCGUAAAACAUGCCAUCGUGCACCUUUCUGAAAGUUGACCUCGGAUCAGGUAGGAAUACCCGCUGAACUUAAGCAUAUCAUAAGUCGGGAGGAA
rnacentral:rRNA from 1 species